CAGCAGCCGCGGUAAUACGAGGGAUCCUAGCGUUGUUCGGAAUCAUUGGGCGUAAAGGGUGUGUAGGCGGCCUUGUAAGUCAGUUGUGAAAGCCCCGGGCUCAACCCGGGAAGUGCUUCUGAUACUGCUUGGCUUGAGUAUUGGAUAGGUGAGUGGAAUUCCAGGUGUAGUGGUGAAAUACGUAGAUAUCUGGAGGAACACCGGCGGCGAAGGCGGCUCACUGGCCAUAUACUGACGCUGAAACACGAAAGCGUGGGUAGCAAACAGGAUUAGAUACCCCAGUAGUCCCUGUCUCUUAUAC
rnacentral:rRNA from 1 species